UAUAUGGGAGUUGAUCCCCUAUAGCUCUCUCUUAAUCCAACUUCUGCCAGUAAGUAUCUCUCAAGUCGGACUUUUACUUAAUAAACCAAAUGCGGAGCCCAGCGAAAUCAUAUCGAGCCUUGCCUACCCCGACUUAUCCAUUAAUGAUCGGGUCCUAGCGAGUCAAGUUCCAGCCGCGUCUACCCAUCCUGUCCAUAACCAAUACCACACCACACGCACGCCAACACACGCACACUGCUCCAAAUUACCAUAAAAUAAUAUUCAUAAACAUUUCCUCAACCAAAGAUGCAACACAAAACGUGCCUAGUAUUUAACUAGAUAAAUAUAUUUAUAGAUGAUGUAUGGACAUGCCUUGAAUAUAUAAUAUUAUUGAAAUUAUAAUUAAAAUCAA
rnacentral:misc_RNA from 1 species